UAUAUAUUGAGUGUGAUCUUGGCUUGGAGUUAAUGCUAGCUAAGUGUCUAAUACAUGCAAGUUAAUGUGUUUAAAAUUAGUAAAUUUUAAAAUAAAUAGCGUCAUGGUGAGUAUUGUUAUUAUAAUAAUAGUAAUAAAGUUAAAAACUUUAAGGUUACAAUUAAACAUUACUAGGUUAUAAUACGAGGGAUUAGGUAAUUAAGACAUUAAGCCUAUAAUCUCUAGUUGAUUUGAGAGAAGGAUCAACCACACGGGAUAUGAAAACUAUCCCGCCUUAUGGCAGCAGUAAAGAAUAUUAGGCAAUGUACAAACGUAUGACCUAUCAAUUUGGCGGAGAUGAAGAAGGUAAUUAGUACUGUAAAAUCUAUACGUAUAUGAGCAUUAUAAGGGUAAAUAUAAAAAGAAGUCGUGGCUAAUACAGGUGCCAGCAGCCGCGGUAAUACCUGAGCGACAAGCAUUAUUCGGCAUAGUUGGGUGUAAAGAAUAUGUAGGUGGAAUUCAUAGAGUAUAUACUAAAUCCAAAAAAGGUGGAAUAUACUUUUAUAUAAAUAAAAAUUCUUGAGUUAAUAUAAAGUUGAGGGGUGGUCUUAAGGAACGAUAAAAUGUAUUUAACUUAAGAAUGCUCGCUAGUUAACUAAUGUGCUUAACUUAUAUUAUCUGACACUGAGAUAUGAAAGUAGGGGGUGUGAUUAGGAUUAGAGACCCUAGUAAUCCUUACUGUAAAAAUUGGUUAUUAAUGUUUACGCAAAAUAACCCACCAGGUGAGUAUAGUUGCAAAACUCAAAGUCAACAGAAUUGGCGGGGAUUAGAACGAAUGGUGGAACAUGUGGUUUAAUGCGAUAAUCCACGUAGAAUCUUACCAAUUUGAAAUAAAAUUUAUAAAAUAAAUAAAUAAAUUUUUACGAGUAUUGCAUGGCUGUCGUCAGUUCGUGUUUUGCGAUCUAAGAUUAAGUUCUAUAAACGAACGCAACCUAUAAAAUUAAUAUGUGUUGGUUACUUUUAUUUAAGAAUAUAAAAUAUUGAAAAAUAUUGAUAAUAAAAAAAUACUAGAAUUGAUACAAAUUAGCUGAAGUCAAGUCCUCAUGGUCUUAGUAAAUUGGGCAACACACGUGUUACAAAGAUAAAAACAAUGAUUAACAAAGGAGCAAUCUGACGUGAUAUCGAAAAAUUAUCUUAGUACGGAAUUACUUCUGAAACUUGAAGUAGUAAAGUUGAAAUCAUUAGUAGUUGUAAAUGAGUAUGUUACAAUGAAUUAAUAAACUAGUCCUGCACACACCGCCCAUCACAUUCGGAUAGUUGAUAGUUUAGUAAAGUCGUACCUAAUUUGUUUUUUUUAAUCAACUGAGUUGAGAUAUUUAUAUCAGAUAAAAUAAAUGAUUUUUACCGAAUUAAAAAUUUUUUUAUACAUAUAAAAAAAUUGAUAGAUUCACAAAAAAAACAAAACUUCUGACUAGGUUAUUGGUGAUUUGAAUUAAGUUGACACAAGGUACCCGUAGAAGAAUCUGUGGGUGGAAUAAAUAAUUU
rnacentral:rRNA from 1 species